rnacentral:rRNA from 1 species
UACGGAGGGGGCUAGCGUUGUUCGGAAUUACUGGGCGUAAAGCGCGCGUAGGCGGCUUUGUAAGUUAGAGGUGAAAGCCCGAAGCUCAACUUCGGAAUUGCCUUUAAGACUGCAUCGCUAGAAUUGUGGAGAGGUGAGUGGAAUUCCGAGUGUAGAGGUGAAAUUCGUAGAUAUUCGGAAGAACACCAGUGGCGAAGGCGACUCACUGGACACAUAUUGACGCUGAGGUGCGAAAGCGUGGGGAGCAAACAGG